UGUUCUGAUUGGUCCGUGGUACGCCUGCGCCCCACUGAGUGUCAAGCCGUGACAGGAGGUUCCAGGUUCGACCCCUGGGCGGAUCG
rnacentral:tRNA from 1 species